GAGAAAAUAUAAUUUUUAUAUUCAUGUGAGAGAGAACUUUUUCCAAAAAGGGAAAUGUGACAUCUUUUGUGGGACAAACUAAAAAGGAAAGUGUGCCAACUUCUCUGGGACGGAGGGAGUACUAUACUCUAUAUAUGAACUAAUUUUCCCAUCCUGUUAUUUUACAUUCUAGUGGACACCGUUUAGUAGAGGGAGAAAUGCUUUUACAUUUAAGCUUACAUUUAAACUGGUGUGUAGUGAUUUUGUUCAUCAAACUUAUGAGAAUCCACCCCAGCAUUUAUUCUUUCAUUUCUUAGUCGUAGGAAAAAUAUAUAUUCUCCAUUAUCCUUCUACUUACUUUUAGAGUUACUUUAUUCCUUAUUUCUCCAUUAUGUUCUAUCUAUUUACUCGCUAUCAGCAUUUCUGAAGUUGAUAUUUACAGUGUGUAAAAGGUAAGAAUAUGUUUGAUUAGACUUGCAGAAUAUUUGGUUUAAAAAUUGUAAAUGUGCUUUUUGAAAUAGGAUCUUGAACUCCUUGACCUUUAUGUAUUAAUUGUAAUAUUCAUCCAGCUAUGAGAUAUCCAGAACUUAAUGGCAGCCAAAUUCAGAAAAAGACUCUGAUUCUAAUGAUAAUAGGAGAUUAUUUAGUCACUCCUUGAUUUCUUCUCUUUUGUGAAUAUCCACUGUGCAGAUAUUUUAUACGACUCCUGGUCCCCGGCUAUGACUGUAAGUUCGAUUUGCAUCAGCAUUCUAUCUAUGCUGUCAAGCUCCACCGCGAAGCAACGCCCAGCCGACAAUGACCGCUAUGUGAAGAAUUGUAAGAAUGGCAGAUCUCCGAAGGAGACGAGAUGGUGGUUUCACGAUGAUAAAGUGUGAAUGCAGAUAAACAUGUAACUCAUUCUCACUCUAUCCUACAUAGGUCGGCUGAAAAUUGAAACAUGUAACUCAUUGUCACUCUAUCCUAAACUGCUCUAUCAUACAUUUCUGUAGCAUGUUGAUCUAUUGGUAUAUAUAAAUGUAUGUUAUGUUGUAUUCAA